rnacentral:rRNA from 1 species
AUUGAACGCUGGCGGCAGGCCUAACACAUGCAAGUCGAACGAGUGGCGGACGGGUGAGUAAUGUCUGGGAAACUGCCUGCUGGGGGGGGAUCACUACUGGAAACGGUCGCUAAUACCGCAUACAAUCGGAUGUGCCCAGAUGGGAUUAGCUCGUAGGUGGGGUAACGGCUCACCUAGGCGACGAUCCCUCGCUGGUCUGAGAGGAUGACCAGCCAAACUGGAAUGGGGACACGGUCCAGACGCCUACGGGAGGCAGCAGUGGGGAAUAUUGCAAAAGGGGCGCAAGCCGGAUGCAGCCAUGCCGCGUGUAUGAAGAAGGCCUUCGGGUUGGAAAGUACGUUCAGCGGGGAGGCGUUACCCGCAGAAGAAGCACCGGCUAACUCCGUGCCAGCAGCCGCGGUAAUAC